rnacentral:rRNA from 1 species
AAUCGUUAAGCAUCCACCUGGGAGUACGCCGCAACGUGAACUCAAGGAAUUGACGGGGCCCGCACAAGCGGAGGAACAUGUGUUAAUUCGAUGAUACGCGAGGAACCUUACCCGGGCUUGAACUGCAGCGGAAGGAUACAGAGAUGUUGACGUCCUUCGGGACCGCUGUGGAGGUGCUGCAUGGUUGUCGUCAGCUCGUGCCGUGAGGUGUCGGCUUAAGUGCCAUAACGAGCGCAACCCUUUUCAUCAGUUGCCAUCAGGUGAUGCUGGGCACUCUGUUGAUACUGCCACCGUAAGGUGUGAGGAAGGUGGGGAUGACGUCAAAUCAGCACGGCCCUUACGUCCGGGGCUACACACGUGUUACAAUGGGGCAUACAGAAGGCAGGAUCAUGGCAACAUGGUUCAAAUCUUUAAAGUGCUCCUCAGUUCGGAUUGGGGUCUGCAACCCGACCCCAUGAAGCUGGAUUCGCUAGUAAUCGCGCAUCAGCCAUGGCGCGGUGAAUACGUUCCCGGGCCUUGUACACACCGCCCGUCAAGCCAUGAAAGCCGGGGGCGCCUGAAGUCCGUGACCGCGAGGGUCGGCCUAGGGUGAAACCGGUGAUUGGGGCU